AGGGGACAUCUGUGUGCACUGUCUGAGCUAGCUGUGUCUGCUUCCUGGGGGAGAGACAGGAUCUCUUUGGAUUGUCAAAGGGAAGCAGAGAAGCCAGCAUAUUAGCAAAGGGAAGAGGGAGUUAGGGGUGGUUGUGGGGUCUGAAAAGAAAGGUGAGGUAGGGGGCAGUUAGGAGACUGGGGCAGUAAUUCAGGAAGAGGUGACAGUGACUCUAACAAGGGUUGGGGACGCGGAGAGUGUUUUCUCACAUACUUAGAACUGGAAUAAAUAAGAUUUAUAACAAAGUACUUCCUGCCAAAACCAGACUGCCAUCCCGACGUGCAGGAAAGAUGAUUCAGAAGAUAACAGCGCUGCCUGGGCCUGAGAACCAGAACCCACGUAAAAAUGGCACACCCGCAUGUGCACCUGCAUACACACGUGUGCAUUCGUGUGCAAACAAAGAAAACUCAUGAAUCUCAAAGGAACAUUCUCAAGGCUUUUUUUAAGUGAAGAUAUAAAGCAUAAAGUGGAAAAUAACAACAGCUAUUAUCAUUUUGAA
rnacentral:lncRNA from 1 species